ACCUUCAGCAACGCGCUUCCAAAGCUUUAAUAAUGAAGAGUCUCGUUUGUAUACUGAAGGAAACCGCCACUCAACUUCGGAAACAUAAGGAUGAAAAAGUUUGCUCUUAAAUCACAGAUGUAAUCUCAACAGCAUGAGAGUGUGUGUACAGUGUGUACGAGAGGCUUACAGACGGAGUCUGUCUGUGUUACAUGCGUGUGGGUCCCGAGAGAUGUCAAAGAUGCAAAUGAGAGCCCAUCUGCACCAAGGCAUUGUCUUCAUUCUGCUGUAAAGAUGAGUUCUUGGCUGCUUGCUGUGUCAUGGCAUUUCAACACCAUCAGAAAAUCAUUACAGAUCAGAGAGGAACAGGAAAAUAGACAUGUCAGAUGUUAGACAUACAUUAUGUCACACAGGUUCAGAAUGUUCCAUUGCGAAGGCUGUUGUUGUGUUCAGAGAGUGUUAGAGAAUGUACUCUGUGUCUUGGCCUCUCCCUUCAGCGAGCCCAAACCUGUCUCUCCCUCCGUGCCUGUAGGCCAUACAGGUUUCUUGCAGAUGGCCCUUUGGGGUGUGACUGUUUCUAUCGAGGACAGUAUGUCAUCCACAAAACCCUUGAAGCACCCUUAAGUGUCACGACCUGCAGCAUGUAGC
ensembl:lncRNA